rnacentral:siRNA from 1 species
ACCUGCGAAGAUCUGGUCUAGUAG